rnacentral:rRNA from 1 species
UACGUAGGGUGCAAGCGUUAAUCGGAAUUACUGGGCGUAAAGCGUGCGCAGGCGGUUAUGUAAGACAGGGGUGAAAUCCCCGGGCUCAACCUGGGAACUGCAUUUGUGACUGCAUCGCUGGAGUGCGGCAGAGGGGGAUGGAAUUCCGCGUGUAGCAGUGAAAUGCGUAGAUAUGCGGAGGAACACCGAUGGCGAAGGCAAUCCCCUGGGCCUGCACUGACGCUCAUGCACGAAAGCGUGGGGAGCAAACAGG